AUGGGGAAACACACACACACACACACAGUUUGGGAGUGUGUGUGGGGAGAGAAAUUUCCACAGUGUUUCGGGAUCAAGGGAUGCUCGUGGCAGACUCCGUUCUGUUCCAGGCAUGCAGUAGGAACUCAUCCUGGCUUACCUAGGUCAGUUCCUCUCUUAUGGACUGUGCAGUGUCCUCAGCCUCUUGAUCACUUGGAUACUUCUAGUAACACUGAAAGGAAGCUCUGCAAAUGGGAUUGUAUUGGGAAUGGGAAAUUGUCAGGUGACAAGGACCAGGAAAAAAUUCCCAUUUCCACUCAGAGCAAAAUGUCACCUUAUUCUGUUUCAGUAAAGAAUAAAGGAAUUUGGACAAAAUGUCAGUUUUCCUCUGAACUAAUUUGGGAAUUAUAA
rnacentral:lncRNA from 1 species